AUUGAACGCUGGCGGCAGGCUUAACACAUGCAAGUCGAGCGAGCGGCGGACGGGUGAGUAAUGUCUGGGAAACUGCCUGAUGGAGGGGGAUAACUACUGGAAACGGUAGCUAAUAACGCAUACCAUCAGAUGUGCCCAUAUGGGAUUAGCUAGUAGGUGGGGUAAUGGCUAACCUAGGCGACGAUCCCUAGCUGGUCUGAGAGGAUGACCAGCCACACUGGGACUGAGACACGGCCCAGACUCCUACGGGAGGCAGCAGUGGGGAAUAUUGGACAAUGGGCGCAAGCCUGAUGCAGCCAUGCCGCGUGUGUGAAGAAGGCCUUCGGGUUGUAAAGCACUUUCAGCGGGGAGGCGGUACUCGCAGAAGAAGCACCGGCUAACUCCGUGCCAGCAGCCGCGGUAAUUC
rnacentral:rRNA from 1 species